CAGUAGCCGCGGUAAUACGUAGGUGGCAAGCGUUGUCCGGAAUUAUUAGGCGUAAAGGGCUCGCAGGCGGUUUCUUAAGUCUGACGUGAAAGCCCCCGGCUCAACCGGGGAGGGUCAUUGGAAACUGGGAAACUUGAGUGCAGAAGAGGAGAGUGGAAUUCCACGUGUAGCGGUGAAAUGCGUAGAGAUGUGGAGGAACACCAGUGGCGAAGGCGACUCUCUGGUCUGUAACUGACGCUGAGGAGCGAAAGCGUGGGGAGCGAACAGGAUUAGAUACCCCUGUAGUCCCUGUCUCUUAUAA
rnacentral:rRNA from 1 species